CCAAAGCAGCUCCAAGGCCUGGUGGAAUUGGCAGUGCAGCUGCAGGUCAGCCGGGUGUAGAUGGAGAGAGCAUGCUGUCUAAAAUUUUGCCUGGAGGAGCUGCAGAGCAAGCUGGCAAAUUAGGAGAAGCAAUCUCUGGAUUUGGCAAGAAGUUCACCUCCUUGUGGUGAGGUAGUACAAUUAAAGGGAGUCUAAAAUGACAGAGGAUGUUUUUGUACUGGAAAAACCUAUGAAGUUUCCCUAUUAUGUUUUAAUUUAAAGAGAAGACAACUCAAGAAAGAAAGCGAGAGGGAGAGAAGCUAUCUGGUUGUUCUACCAACCAAGAGUGGAAUCACAGGACUUCGUAAACUCAAGGUUUGGGUCAUAAUUCAAAGGCGGCAACACUGUUCGCUCUGAAAGUCAGACAAUUAUUUGGGAAUUCUGUGUCUGUGUUCUAACCGAACAGCAUGGCCAAAGAUAUUAACAGCCAACUUUGAGCAUGACAGCUCCAAAGAACCUGCUCCUCCUGGCCUACAGAACA